UGCCAGCAGCCGCGGUAACACGUAAGGUGCGAGCGUUGUUCGGAAUUAUUGGGCGUAAAGGGCUCGUAGGCGGCCUGCCAAGUCCCACGUGAAAGACCAGGGCUCAACCCUGGGAACGCGAGGGAAACUGGUAAGCUGGAAUCUUGGAGGGGGUACUGGAAUUCCUAGUGUAGGGGUGAAAUCUGUUGAUAUUAGGAAGAACACCGGAGGCGAAGGCGAGUACCUGGCCAAAGAUUGACGCUGAUGAGCGAAAGCGUAGGGAGCGAACAGGAUUAGAUA
rnacentral:rRNA from 1 species